UACGUAGGGUGCAAGCGUUGUCCGGAAUUAUUGGGCGUAAAGAGCUCGUAGGCGGCUUGUCGCGUCGUUCGUGAAAACCCGGGGCUCAACUCCGGGCUUGCGGGCGAUACGGGCAGGCUAGAGUUCGGUAGGGGAGACUGGAAUUCCUGGUGUAGCGGUGGAAUGCGCAGAUAUCAGGAGGAACACCGAUGGCGAAGGCAGAUCUCUGGGCCGUAACUGACGCUGAGGAGCGAAAGCGUGGGGAGCAAACAGG
rnacentral:rRNA from 1 species